rnacentral:misc_RNA from 1 species
CGAACACCAGUCAAGCCCUAAGCUGGCGAUGGAGGCCGUCGGCGCCCGCCUCGGCCGCUCAUCCUCCCGCUAUGGUCCCGGUCCCGCCACCGUCUUCAGCGGCCCAGUGCGGAAGUGGAAGAAGAAGUGGGUCUCCGUCACCGCCCCUUCCACCAACACCAACGGCACCGCCAACAACAACGCAUCUCACCUCGUCCUCUACAAGUGGACCCAGG